AAAAUUAAAAGUCUAAUCUGCCCAAUGAUUAUUGAAUGGCCGCGGUAACAUGACCGUGCAAAGGUAGCAUAAUUAUUAGUCUUUUAAUUGAAGGCUUGUAUGAACGAUUGGAUGAAAAAUAAACUUUAUUAAUAUAAUUUAUUUAAUUUAAUAUUUAAGUAAAAAUUCUUAAAUGAAUAAGUGGGACGAGAAGACCCUAUAGAGUUUAAUUUUUUAAUAUAUUAAAAUAUUAAAGAAACAAUAUUUUUUUAAUAUGUUAAAAAAUUUUGUUGGGGUGACAUUAAAAAUAAAUUAACUUUUAAUUAAUAUAUCAUUAAUUUAUGAUAAAUUGAUCCAAAAUUUUUGAUUAAAAGAUAAAAUUACCUUAGGGAUAACAGCGUUAUUAAUUUGGAGAGUUCAAAUCAAUAAAUUAGUUUGCGACCUCGAUGUUGGAUUAAGAAAAAUUUUUGGAGCAGCAUUUAAAAUACUAGGUCUGUUCGACCUUUAAAUUCUUACG
rnacentral:rRNA from 1 species